UACGUAGGGUGCAAGCGUUGUCCGGAUUUAUUGGGUUUAAAGGGUGCGCAGGCGGCUUAUUAAGUUAGUGGUGAAAUCACCCGGCUCAACCGGGUACCCGCCAUUGAUACUGGUAAGCUUGAGUAUGUUCGAGGAGAUUGGAACGUGUAGUGUAGCGGUGAAAUGCAUAGAUAUUACGCAGAACACCAAUUGCGAAGGCA
rnacentral:rRNA from 1 species